rnacentral:rRNA from 1 species
UACGUAGGGGGCGAGCGUUGUCCGGAGUUACUGGGCGUAAAGGGCAUGCAGGCGGUCGGACGCGUUUCGGGUGACAGCGGGUGGCUUAACUACCCGAGUGGUCGAAAGACGGUUUGACUUGAGGACGCGAGAGGGACACGGAAUUCCGGGUGGAGUGGUGAAAUGCGCAGAUAUCAGGAGGAACACCGGUGGCGAAGGCGGUUCUCUGGGCCUUACCUGACGCUGAGGAGCGAAAGCAUGGGGAGCAAACAGG